rnacentral:rRNA from 1 species
UUACCACUUUGUGAUUCAUGACUGUGGUGAAGUAGUAACACGGUAACUGUAGGGGAACCUCCGAUUUUUUCAUGUCCUUACCUUAUAGAA